CCCGGCACAAGCGGUGGAGCACGUGGUUUAAUUCGAUGCAAACCGAAGAACCUUACCUGGGUUUGACAUGUACGUGGUACGGAUCUGAAAGGUGAAGGACCCGGUCUUCGGACUGGGAGCGUACACAGGUGCUGCAUGGCUGUCGUCAGCUCGUGUCGUGAGAUGUUGGGUUAAGUCCCGCAACGAGCGCAACCCUGCUGCCAGUUGCCAACGGGUAGAGCCGGGCACUCUGGCGGGACUGCCAACGACAAGAUGGAGGAAGGUGGGGAUGACGUCAAGUCCUCAUGGCCUUUAUGACCAGGGCUACACACGUACUACAAUGGCCGAUACAAAGGGCAGCGACACUGCGAGGUGAAGCCAAUCCCGUAAAAUCGGUCUCAGUCCGGAUUGGAGUCUGCAACUCGACUCCAUGAAGUUGGAAUCGCUAGUAAUCGUGGAUCAGCAUGCCACGGUGAAUACGUUCCCGGGCCUU
rnacentral:rRNA from 1 species